UACAGAGGUGGCAAGCGUUGUUCGGAAUUACUGGGCGUAAAGGGCGCGUAGGCGGCCUGCUAAGUCGAACGUGAAAUCCCUGGGCUCAACCCAGGAACUGCGUCCGAUACUGGUUGGCUUGAAUCCGGGAGAGGGACGUGGAAGUUCCAGGUGAUAGCGGUGAAAUGCGUAGAUAUCUGGAGGAACACCGGUGGCGAAGGCGACGUCCUGGACCGGCAUUGACGCUGAGGCGCGAAAGCCAGGGGAAGCCAAAGCGGG
rnacentral:rRNA from 1 species